rnacentral:Y_RNA from 1 species
GGUUGGUCCAAGUGCAGUGGUCUCUACAACUAAUUGAUCACAACCAGUUACAUAUUCCAUUGUUCCUUCUCCACUCCCAUGGCUCCACUUGACUAGCCUAAA